rnacentral:rRNA from 1 species
CCUACGGGAGGCAGCAGUAGGGAAUAUUGCACAAUGGGGGGAAACCCUGAAGCAGCAACGCCGCGUGGAGGAUGAAGGUUUUCGGACUGUAAACUCUUUUUGCUAGAGAAGAUAUUGACGGUAUCUAACGAAUAAGCACCGGCUAAUUCCGUGCCAGCAGCCGCGGUAAGACGGAGGGUGCAAGCGUUACCCGGAAUCACUGGGCGUAAAGGGCGCGUAGACGGGAUAGCAAGUCAGAUGUGAAAUCCUAGGGCUUAACCAUAGAACUGCAUUUGAAACUGUGAUUCUAGAGUAUGGGAGAGGUAGGUGGAAUUCUUGGUGUAGGGGUAAAAUCCGUAGAGAUCAAGAGGAAUACUCAUUGCGAAGGCGACCUGCUAGAACAUAACUGACGCUGAUGCGCGAAAGCGUGGGGAGCAAACAGGAUUAGAUACCCGUGUAGUC